rnacentral:rRNA from 1 species
CCUACGGGUGACAGCAGUGAGGAAUAUUGGUCAAUGGACGGAAGCCUGAACCAGCCAAGUCGCGUGCGGGAUUAAGGCCCUGCGGGUCGUAAACCUCUUUUGCCGGGGAGCAGAGGUCCGGACGUGUCCGGGCCGGGAGAGUACCCGGAGAAAAGGCAUCGGCUAACUCCGUGCCAGCAGCCGCGGUAAUACGGAGGAUGCGAGCGUUAUCCGGAUUUGUUGGGUUUAAAGGGUGCGUAGGCGGGCAUUUAAGCAGGCGGUAAAAUGUCGGGGCUCAACCCCGGCCUGCCGUCGGAACUGGGUGCCUUGAGUGGGCGAGAAGUAGGCGGAAUGCGUGGUGUAGCGGUGAAAUGCAUAGAGAUCACGCAGAACCCCGAUUGCGAAGGCAGCAUACCGGCGCCCUACUGACGCUGAGGCACGAAAGUGCGGGUAUCGAACAGGAUUAGAUACCCCUGUAGUC